CACGAACCGUACGAACGUUAUUCGGAAUUACUGGGCUUAAAGGGUUUGUAGGCGGCCUUGUAAGUCAGGUGUGAAAUCCCGCGGCUCAACUGCGGGGUCUGCAGUCGAUACGGGCAGGCUAGAGUUCGGUAGGGGAGACUGGAAUUCCUGGUGUAGCGGUGAAAUGCGUAGAUAUCUGGAGGAACACCGGUGGCGAAGGCGGCAUCCUGGACCGGUAUUGACGCUGAGGCGCGAAAGCCAGGGGAGCAAACGGGG
rnacentral:rRNA from 1 species